GACAUCUGAUAAGUAAGGACCUAACUACCUGAUCCACAAUUGGUCUCAAAAAUAAGAAGAUUUAGAGAUCUGGAAGCCAUCGUUUUUUCAGUGGGAACCAGGAAGAACAGAGCUGCAUUCUUCCUUUCACCUGCAAGAACCUUCUCUGUUGUCCCCAUUUUUCACUGGUGUCUGCACAGUAUAAUGUCUUAAAUGUGGAAAUACACAAGCUAGAAAAGUGUUGAUAACACACUAAUGUUUUGUCUGCUGCUGAGCUUUUUUCGCACACCCAUCAUGGUUGUUUCUCCAAACCACUACUACCUGGCCCCAAGCCUGAAAAUCUGGG